rnacentral:tRNA from 1 species
GCAGUCGUGGCCGAGUGGUUAAGGCGAUGAACUAGAAAUCCAUUGGGGUCUCCCCACACAGAUUCGAAUCCUGUCGAAUGCG